AGUGAACGCUGGCGGUAGGCCUAACACAUGCAAGUCGAACGGCAGCACAGAGGAGCUUGCUCCUUGGGUGGCGAGUGGCGGACGGGUGAGGAAUACAUCGGAAUCUACUCUGUCGUGGGGGAUAACGUAGGGAAACUUACGCUAAUACCGCAUACGACCUACGGGUGAAAGCAGGGGACCUUCGGGCCUUGCGCGAUUGAAUGAGCCGAUGUCGGAUUAGCUAGUUGGCGGGGUAAAGGCCAACCAAGGCGACGAUCCGUAGCUGGUCUGAGAGGAUGAUCAACCACACUGGAACUGAGACACGGUCCAGACUCCUACGGGAGGCAGCAGUGGGGAAUAUUGGACAAUGGGCGCAAGCCUGAUCCAGCCAUACCGCGUGGGUGAAGAAGGCCUUCGGGUUGUAAAGCCCUUUUGUUGGGGAAGAAAUCCAGCUGGCUAAUACCCGGUUGGGAUGACGGUACCCAAAGAAUAAGCACCGGCUAACUUCGUGCCAGCCGCCGCCGUAA
rnacentral:rRNA from 1 species